UGGAUCUCUCAUGGUUGGUGUUGUCUUCAUGAUAGUGAGUGAGCUCUCGAGAGAUCUGGCUGUUUAAAAGUGUGUGGCACCUCCCCAACUCUUUCUCUUGCUCCUGCUUUCGCCACGUGAACUGCCUGCUCCUCCUUCACCUUCUGCCAUCGUUGUCAGCUUCCCGAAGCCUCCCCAGAAGCCCAGCAGAUGCUGAGGCCAUGGUUCCUGUACAGCCAGCAGAACCGCGAGCCAGUUAAACCUCUUUCCUUUAUAAAUUACCCAGUCUCAGGUAUUUCUUUAUAGCAGUGCGAAAACUGCCUAAUACACUCUGUGUAAAACUGUUGGUCUGAGGGUCAGACUAGGUCCCUAGUCUUAGACGCAUCAGAAGGCAUUCCUGACAUCUCUUGGGCAUCAGCUCUUUCAGCCCCCUCUGCUUGGACCAAGCAGUGAUGAAGGGAAGAGGAGAGACCACAGCUUGAUGGAAUCUUUGCAAGAUCAAAUUAGAAGUAUUAUUUGCUGAAAGGCAAUAUUCUCCACUCUAGGCUUGUGAGAGCCGAGCUCCUUGUCUCCCAGGGAGCUUUGGUUUGACUUUCAUCUUGAUAUUGAAUUUAAGCCUCAUAUUUUAUGAUAAAUGUAUGUAGCCCUCAGCCUGCCUGAUAAUAACAACUGCACCUACCAUGGACGUUCUAUUCAGAAGAAGGACUGGGAGUGGUCUCGUCUGAUUACUGGAAUCUGUUGCUAAUUAACUAAAAUCUCCCUCUUGUUUGAGCAGUCCUUCGUGGGAUUCUUCCUAAAGCACAUCUGCUUGCUUUGCUGUCUUGCCUAAGUAAAGAACACCAUUGUGAACAGAAUUGAAUUCCUGGAGGCAGGCGGCUUCCCGUGGUUCUGCAUGGCCUACAGGGCAAUGCUAAGACCAGCAGGUGGAAGCCACAGGGAUCUUAAUAUCAGUUCACUGGGGGAAGAACUUUCUACCAUGGAGAGUUCUCUGAGAAUGGAAAUGCUAGACUGCCUUGGGAGGUGGGUAAUGAGUCCCCUGUUUUUAGGGGAAACUGUCGGUGGAGCUGGGUGAACCCAUGGAAGGGCGUCCUUACCAGUUCGCAUCACCGAAUCAGACAACGUUUAAAUUUAAUGACACUGGCCGGGUGCAGUGGCUCACGCCUAUAAUCCCAGCACUUUGGGAGGAUCACUUGAUGCCAGGAGUUCAAGACCAGUCUGGACAACAUAGUGAGACCCCAUCUCUACAAAAAAGACAACAUUAAAAAAC
rnacentral:lncRNA from 10 species